rnacentral:misc_RNA from 1 species
AACAUCGCGCACCUGCGGGAACCUGCGGAGGGAUCAUUAGCUUAGGAAGGGGGAGGAUGGAUGGGGGUAGAGAGGAGCCAAGGGGGUAACUCCAAGACUCUUCGAUACUCAAUCCAACCCAACCCAACCCAACCCAACCCCAACCCACGUGAACAUGGAUAAUGUCUGUGAUGAUGGCGGCAGUGCUAGUGUGUGUGAGCUGCUACGCUUGCAUGGAUGAACAUUGCCGACAUUGUCAAU